rnacentral:hammerhead_ribozyme from 1 species
AUUCACAUGACAAGUCCCAAAUAGGACGAAACGCGCGUCCUGGAU